UUCUGUAUAAAUCUUUCAAGUGCCUCUCUAUCAUUAAAUCCCAGAAGUGCUUAUAUGGGGAACGCGUCUUUAAUGCUCUGAAAUCCCCAAAUUCAGGCUGUACAUUUUCAUCUACCCGUUGAAAACGUCAGGAAUAGAAUCCGAUGCCUUUAGCCAUGGGUUAUUUUGCUUUGGACGUGUCUACCUGUUGCAAGGAAAAGCGAACACUUCUUUGGUAAUAUUUCAGAUUGCAGAUGCAGCAAUGAGAUGCAAAGUUGUAUGCCAGGAUCUCAAGAUUUCCAAAGCGAGGAGUUCGGGAGGAUGAACAGCUCUCAGGAAACGGUCAACAGCUCUCAGGGUGCAAUUCUAAAGGUCAUUUGUUAUCACAUCUGUUACUGUCAAGGCAUCCUCUCUGAGGCAAAGCGCAUCUGAGACGCUGGAAACCCUAGGAGGUUCUAUGGUAGGAUUUUUCUCUCACAUGCUGUAUGAUGAGACUGAAAAGAGCACAUUCAUCUGUGGAGUUCUCCCAGUGUCAGGGGAAAAUGUCAGAAACCUUUUCCCUCUGCCAUGUUUCACUGGGACCUUCAUUUCCCAGACAGUGUCCAGACUUUUAAGUGCAAAGCCUACCACUCAGUUAAUAUUAGGAUUGAUUUCACCUGAGUCUCUUGGGGAAGAGUAAAUCUGGAGACCAUGAUUUGUCAGAAAGUCCAAGAUUUCUUGACUGUGGCUAUGAAGAACAGGGAGGGAGAAAGGAAGAAUGCCAGGGUUGAAUGACCUCUUAGUUUUGCUUGUGUUGGAACUUCCCAAUGCUGAAAGCUGUUCACACCAUGGAAGUUAUGGAACUGAUGAGGCUGGGCAAAUCAUGCCUCUCAGGCUUGAAGGUAGAGUCCUGCUUUGUGCUUCCCAUCAUCCACUAGGAUCACCAUGCCACAUUCUACUGGAAAAAUGACAGAAGGAUUUUGCAUAUGGAAAUGAAGUCAAGCAUGCAUUUUAUGGCAGUAAUCUAAUUAUUUACAUUAAUAUAGUAGCAUUACAUUACAACUCUCUGAGGAAAAAAAAAGGCAGAAUUUAGAAUAUCCCGUUCUCGACCCAAAAGAGUGUUAUCUAGUCCAGUUUUUAAAUAGCCUGUGAGUAUAGUAAAAUACCUAAUUAACUUAAGAAGAGUUUUUACAUCAGGCAGAGAAUAUUUAUUUUAAAAUGUAAUCACAUACCAGAGUACUUGUUCACUUAAUCUGUCAUUUAUAGGACAACAUAUUAGACUAAUAUUAUGGGCCAAAGUAUCCCCUAGCACAAGCUGGUAAAGCCCUGUUGGGAUCUAUGUAGCUGUGCCAAUUACAUCAGUGAGUAACAGUUUUGUAUUUUAUUUUAUAUUUAAUGGAUAGACAAAUUAACUAAACUAUGACAUGUCUGUGUUCAUAUUUUGGAAAAGAAAUUGUUUGUGUAACUUGAAGAAAGUGAAGAUACAGUAGCCUAAAGCAUAAACCAUUUUUAAGCAUAAAUGAAUUCAGAUUCUUUACACAUUUUAAGAUUUCACUUGAUUUUUAACAUAUAUAUUGCUCUACAAAGGCAAAAUGUGGUAUUUUGUGGAAGAGGCUUUUGUCCUUGUCUGCAAAGAAGAGGUGUUUCAGAACUGUUCCACAUUGUAUUUUACAUGGCAGACAGAGGACAAAACCCAGUGAAUUCUGCAUCU